rnacentral:rRNA from 1 species
AAGCGGGGGAUCGCAAGACCUCGCGCUAACAGAGCGGCCGAUGGCAGAUUAGGUAGUUGGUGGGGUAAAGGCCUACCAAGCCGACGAUCUGUAGCUGGUCUGAGAGGACGACCAGCCACACUGGGACUGAGACACGGCCCAGACUCCUACGGGAGGCAGCAGUGGGGAAUUUUGGACAAUGGGCGCAAGCCUGAUCCAGCAAUGCCGCGUGCAGGACGAAGGCCUUCGGGUUGUAAACUGCUUUUGUACGGAACGAAAAGCUCUUCUCUAAUACAGAGGGGUGAUGACGGUACCGUAAGAAUAAGCACCGGCUAACUACGUGCCAGCAGCCGCGGUAAUACGUAGGGUGCGAGCGUUAAUCGGAAUUACUGGGCGUAAAGCGUGCGCAGGCGGUUAUGCAAGACAGAGGUGAAAUCCCCGGGCUCAACCUGGGAACUGCCUUUGUGACUGCAUGGCUAGAGUGCGGCAGAGGGGGAUGGAAUUCCGCGUGUAGCAGUGAAAUGCGUAGAU